AGAUCCUCUUUUCAUUUCCUAGAAGCAAGAAGGGAGCCAGAAGCCCAGUUCUCAGGAGAUGAGGCUACCAGGAGAGAACAGAGAAGAAAAGACACUCUGAAAAAGGAAAAGAUGAGAGUUCUUAUGGAAAAAUGUGCCUUGGGAAAAAUUACAAUACUACAGCAAGGAGCCAUGAGACAAGCUCAGAGUGUGAGAUGCACAGUUUUUCCAGAGUUCCAACACCUGGAGCAGAAUUAUCACUGUCCAGAUGAUGACCAAAACAAGAAUAAUCCAGCACUGUAAAGGAAAUUUUCAAGAUGUGCCUGGGUGACUAUGCUGGCCAAUGGAACAUAACUUGAAACGGCAUGUGUGAUUUCUGGAAAACAUCUCUAAAGGACAGGGUCUUGCUGUAUCACCCAAGGUGGAGUGCAUUGGCAUAAUCAUGGCUCACUGCAG
rnacentral:lncRNA from 1 species